rnacentral:rRNA from 1 species
AUUCCAGCUCCAAUAGCGUAUAUUAAAGUUGUUGCGGUUAAAAAGCUCGUAGUUGGAUUUCUGCCGAGGAUGACCGGUCCGCCCUGUGGGUGUGCAUCUGGCUCAGCCUUGGCAUCUUCCUGAAGAACGUAGCUGCACUUGACUGUGUGGUGCGGUAUUUAGGACAUUUACUUUGAGGAAAUUAGAGUGUUUCAAGCAAGCGCACGCUUUGAAUACAUUAGCAUGGAAUAAUAAGAUAGGACCUCGGUUCUAUUUUGUUGGUUUCUAGAGCUGAGGUAAUGAUUGAUAGGGAUAGUUGGGGGCAUUCGUAUUUAACUGUCAGGGGUGAAAUUCUUGGAUUUGUUAAAGACGGACUACUGCGAAAGCAUUUGCCAAGGAUGUUUUCAUUG